CUGUUAUAAGCCUCCAGCGGCCAGGUGCAUCAAUUUCAAAAGGUCCAUUUAAGCUAAGAAAAUAAUCAUGCCAUACUGGCGUCUAUGACACACAAUUCUCGUGCCCCGCUCUCGUCCCCAGAGAAUCCGCACAGCAUUCUUCUCUGGAAC